UACGUAGGGUGCAAGCGUUGUCCGGAAUUAUUGGGCGUAAAGAGCUUGUAGGCGGUUUGUCGCGUCUGCUGUGAAAUUUCGGGGCUCAACCCCGAACUUGCAGUGGGUACGGGCAGACUAGAGUGUGGUAGGGGAGACUGGAAUUCCUGGUGUAGCGAUGAAAUGCGCAGAUAUCAGGAGGAACACCGAUGGCGAAGGCAGGUCUCUGGGCCAUAACUGACGCUGAGAAGCGAAAGCAUGGGGGAGCGAACAGG
rnacentral:rRNA from 1 species